rnacentral:rRNA from 1 species
UACAGAGGUCUCAAGCGUUGUUCGGAUUCAUUGGGCGUAAAGAGCGUGUAGGCGGCCAGACAAGUCUGCUGUGAAAACUCGAGGCUCAACCUCGAGCUGUCGGUGGAAACUGUCUGGCUAGAGUCCGGAAGAGGAGAGUGGAAUUCCUGGUGUAGCGGUGAAAUGCGCAGAUAUCAGGAAGAACACCUAUGGCGAAGGCAGCUCUCUGGGACGGUACUGACGCUGAGACGCGAAAGCGUGGGGAGCGAACAGG